CGUUACAAAACAUUAGUCUCAACGAGCUGAAAGACACAUCACAAAAUAGAAUACAACAGUGGCUCGAUUAUGUGCAGUGUUCAGUGGCAUUCUCUUUAUAUAUAGACUUUCACUUUCUCUCUCUCUCUCUCUGUUUCUCUCUCUUUCUCUUUCUCUCUCGCUCUCUUGCACUCUCCAUUUCUAGUUUUUCAAGCAGACCUGUUUUUUUUUUAAAGAUAAGACUUUUAAGGAUUUUUUUUCUCGGAUUUGUUUCUGGACCUGGUUUCUGUUGUAAGUGAUCUGAAAAACAAAUUGACAUUCUUGACUUUAAAAUCCAAAGUGAUUAUAGUCAAAUAAUGCGUCUUAUAUUUGUUCUGAGUGUGUUGGCAAUGACCAGUACUUUAAGUCAAGGUCAGUUUUCUUUCUGUGACCUUUGCCCCCAAGGGUUCAACAGGUUAUGUACAUUUUGUGUAAGACCAGCCGUCGUCACAAAAAACUGUAUCUGCGGCAUCAGCGACCCCGAGUCCAUUGAAUGUCUGAUGGAGUGUGAUGGAGUUGGGAAAUAACGUGAUAGAUACAAAUCACAAGUUCAAUAAUAAAAUCAUUCCAAUUACUUACA
rnacentral:sRNA from 1 species